rnacentral:rRNA from 1 species
AGCGAACGCUGGCGGCAGGCUUAACACAUGCAAGUCGAACGCCCCGCAAGGGGAGUGGCAGACGGGUGAGUAACACGUGGGAACGUACCCUUUGGUUCGGAAUAACUUGGGGAAACUCAAGCUAAUACCGGAUAAGCCCUUAUGGGGAAAGGUUUACUGCCGAAGGAUCGGCCCGCGUCUGAUUAGCUAGUUGGUGAGGUAACGGCUCACCAAGGCGACGAUCAGUAGCUGGUCUGAGAGGAUGAUCAGCCACACUGGGACUGAGACACGGCCCAGACUCCUACGGGAGGCAGCAGUGGGGAAUAUUGGACAAUGGGGGCAACCCUGAUCCAGCCAUGCCGCGUGAGUGAUGAAGGCCUUAGGGUUGUAAAGCUCUUUUACCCGGGACGAUAAUGACUGUACCGGGAGAAUAAGCCCCGGCUAACUUCGUGCCAGCCGCCGCUGUAACAC